rnacentral:snRNA from 1 species
GUAUUCACGCUGUCAUACAUAUACCAAAAUUGGAAAGAUACAGAGAAGAUUAGCGUGAUCCCUAUGCAAGGAUGACAGAAACUGGUGAAGCAUUCCAUAUUUUA